rnacentral:rRNA from 1 species
GAUGAACGCUGGCGGCGUGCUUAACACAUGCAAGUCGAACGGAAAGGCCCAAGCUUGCUUGGGUACUCGAGUGGCGAACGGGUGAGUAACACGUGGGUGAUCUGCCCUGCACUUCGGGAUAAGCCUGGGAAACUGGGUCUAAUACCAGAUAGGACCACAUUUUGGAUGGUGUGGUGGAAAGUUUUUCGGUGUGGGAUGAGCUCGCGGCCUAUCAGCUUGUUGGUGGGGUAAUGGCCUACCAAGGCGUCGACGGGUAGCCGGCCUGAGAGGGUGUACGGCCACAUUGGGACUGAGAUACGGCCCAGACUCCUACGGGAGGCAGCAGUGGGGAAUAUUGCACAAUGGGCGCAAGCCUGAUGCAGCGACGCCGCGUGGGGGAUGACGGCCUUCGGGUUGUAAACUCCUUUCGCUAGGGACGAAGCGCAAGUGACGGUACCUGGAGAAGAAGCACCGGCUAACUACGUG